rnacentral:rRNA from 1 species
UGCAAGUCGAACGCUUCUUUUUCCACCGGAGCUUGCUCCACCGGAAAAAGAGGAGUGGCGAACGGGUGAGUAACACGUGGGUAACCUGCCCAUCAGAAGGGGAUAACACUUGGAAACAGGUGCUAAUACCGUAUAACAAUCAAAACCGCAUGGUUUUGAUUUGAAAGGCGCUUUCGGGUGUCGCUGAUGGAUGGACCCGCGGUGCAUUAGCUAGUUGGUGAGGUAACGGCUCACCAAGGCCACGAUGCAUAGCCGACCUGAGAGGGUGAUCGGCCACAUUGGGACUGAGACACGGCCCAAACUCCUACGGGAGGCAGCAGUAGGGAAUCUUCGGCAAUGGACGAAAGUCUGACCGAGCAACGCCGCGUGAGUGAAGAAGGUUUUCGGAUCGUAAAACUCUGUUGUUAGAGAAGAACAAGGAUGAGAGUAACUGUUCAUCCCUUGACGGUAUCUAACCAGAAAGCCACGGCUAACUACGUGCCAGCAGCCGCGGUAAUACGUAGGUGGCAAGCGUUGUCCGGAUUUAUUGGGCGUAAAGCGAGCGCAGGCGGUUUCUUAAGUCUGAUGUGAAAGCCCCCGGCUCAACCGGGGAGGGUCAUUGGAAACUGGGAGACUUGAGUGCAGAAGAGGAGAGUGGAAUUCCAUGUGUAGCGGUGAAAUGCGUAGAUAUAUGGAGGAACACCAGUGGCGAAGGCGGCUCUCUGGUCUGUAACUGACGCUGAGGCUCGAAAGCGUGGGGAGCAAACAGGAUUAGAUACCCUGGUAGUCCACGCCGUAAACGAUGAGUGCUAAGUGUUGGAGGGUUUCCGCCCUUCAGUGCUGCAGCUAACGCAUUAAGCACUCCGCCUGGGGAGUACGACCGCAAGGUUGAAACUCAAAGGAAUUGACGGGGGCCCGCACAAGCGGUGGAGCAUGUGGUUUAAUUCGAAGCAACGCGAAGAACCUUACCAGGUCUUGACAUCCUUUGACCACUCUAGAGAUAGAGCUUCCCCUUCGGGGGCAAAGUGACAGGUGGUGCAUGGUUGUCGUCAGCUCGUGUCGUGAGAUGUUGGGUUAAGUCCCGCAACGAGCGCAACCCUUAUUGUUAGUUGCCAUCAUUCAGUUGGGCACUCUAGCAAGACUGCCGGUGACAAACCGGAGGAAGGUGGGGAUGACGUCAAAUCAUNAUGCCCCUUAUGACCGGGCUA